GACGAACGCUGGCGGCGUGCCUAAUACAUGCAAGUCGAACGCUGAAGAGAGGAGCUUGCUCUUCUUGUAUGAGUUGCGAACGGGUGAGUAACGCGUAGGUAACCUGCCUUUUAGCGGGGGAUAACUUUUGGAAACGAUAGCUAAUACCGCAUAACAUUGGAUGACACAUGUCUUUUAUUUGAAAGGCGCACUUGCUCUACUACAAGAUGGAACUGCGGUGUAUUUGCUAGUUGGUGAGGUAAUGGCUCUACUAAGCGACGAUACAUAACCGACCUGAGAGGGUGAUCGGCCACACUGGGAAUGAGACACGGCCCAGACUCCUACGGGAGGCAGCAGGAGGGAAACUUCGGGAAAGGGGGCAACGCUGACCGAGCAACGCCGCGUGAGUGAAGAAGGUUUUCGGAUCGUAAAGAUCUGGUGUAAGGGAAGAACGGGUGGGGGAGUGGAAAGUGCACACUGUGACGGUAGCUAACCAGAAAGGGACGGCCAACUACGUG
rnacentral:rRNA from 1 species